rnacentral:rRNA from 1 species
GCCCUGCUAUAAUAAUGUAAGGUGAAACCUGCUCAAUGGUUGGUAAUAAACAAUAAAAACAACUAAAUAGCCGCGGUAACUCUGACCGUGAUAAAGUAGCAUAAUCACUCGUCAUUUAAUUGGUGACUAGAAUGAAUGGUUACACGAAUCUUCCACUGUCUCGAUAAUAAAUGCUUUAAAAUUGAAGUAAUAGUGAAGAUGCUAUUAACUAACUGCAAGACGAAAAGACCCUAUCGAGCUUUACUAAAAGCCUAAAUUAACAAUUAACAAUAUAGAUAUAUUAUUAAAAAUUCAGGUCGGUUAGUUUGGUUGGGGCGACCACCUCUUAAAUAGUACCAGAGGAGACCUAUAGGCUUCUACAUAUGUUAGCAGGCUUAACUGUAUAUUUAUAUAUUAAUCAGAUAUUAAUUAGUAGGGCAUAAUGACCCGUUAAGCCUUUUCUAAUACUUAACGAUAUCAAAAAAAGUUACCGUAGGGAUAACAGGGUAAUAUUUCUGAAGAGUUCAAAUCGAUAGAGAUGUUUGCCACCUCGAUGUUGAAUUGUGAUGACCUAAGGGUGCAGCAGCUCUUAAGGGUUG